CACAGAGCUCUGUUUUCUUCGACAAAAUUCCACAGUAUUCUGGACAUCUGUGUUGGUGAAUCUUUUGCAAUUUGUUUAAUGAACAAUGGAGGCUGCAAAGAAGAACGUUGUAGGUGGGAUCGGUGUAUGCGGCUGGCUGUAGCAACACAACGAGGACUUUGACUUGGAUAGCAGACGCGCUAGCGGCGAACUCACCUUGACUUCCUACGUCUCCGGGCCGCCGACCGCAUCGUGAAACGCUGGAACGCAGAUGCUAUCACGUUAGCUCAUGCUAAGAGCUUCGUCGAUGAUGGGUGAAGUCCUUCGUCGCGCCGCCGAUCGCUGGAACGCAGAUGGAGAAUGCUGGAAGGUGGCGUGAUCCCUGGAUGCAGAGAAUGCAGGUCCUCUCACUGAUCCAGUCCUUGGUUCUGCCAACAGCCGAUCGCUCUGCCCCGAGCACCAAACAGAGCCGAGCCAGUUUUAGCCGGUUUCUCUCUAGGUAGACCUGGGUGUCUCUCUCCAGCUGGUCCAGGGCCUCCGGCCGGCUCUCGUCUAGGGUCACCUCAGCACUCAGCAUGGGGUUGAAGCGGAAAUAGACAUCGCGGGCCAGCAGGUCAUCUAAAAGUGUGUGGACGCCUUCAGUGUCGGUUGCACUGCUAAUCAGGUUACUGAUUUUAGCCCUCAGACUGGUGGAAGUUGUAGGGCCUCUCUUUGGGUUGUCAUAGCGACCGGUGCCGAGGGACAGCACACACUGGAAUGGGUGGUGGGGCCACAAUAGUCUGCUCUCAUGUACAGCUAAGGCACAGGGGUUGUUCAUGAUAAUACCUCCAUCCUACAGUGGAAAACAUAUAAAUCAGGGGAGGUACUUGACAGGUUUUUGGCCUAUUUUUACUUCACAGAUUAAAAAAAAGUAUAAUGUAAAGGGCUUAACAUAUUUUUUUACCUGCCAUUUAAUGCAAGGUGUGGCACUGCUGCACUAAAUUAACAGCAUUGGCAAUUACCACAACCAGUUUUAUUUAGUUUCUGUAUUGGUUAAUACACCAGUAUUUAGAAGCUUUUUUCAUAUGAAUUAUAUUUUAAUGCUAACAUUUAAUAUUAAAGUUAACCAUUAGAUUUUAAAUCGAAAAAACAACAAUUUAUUUAUUAUUUGUUGAGUACUGCAGGAUGUCAAAUUUACUUACUUGCAUUUCUGAACAUAAAAAAUAUUUAUUUUAAAAAUGUCUCAUCUGUACCAAGUGGGUCAUGGGAAAUUGUAAAUUAUAUUUGUAUUUUAAAAUAUAUAAAAACAUUUUUGCUAAAUAAAUAACAAUACAAUUCAAUUACAUGGGUUUUUGAAACAUUUCUGAACUAUUAAUUUUUUCUUGUUUACAAAUGUGAAGUGAAGUCAAGUAUAUUUAUAUAGCGCUUUUCUCUAGUGAAACCCAUUUUCUAAGUUACAUUUAAACCAGUGUGGGUGGCACUGGGGGCAGGUGGGUAAAGUAUCUUGCCCAAGGACACAACGGCAGUGACUAGGAUGGGGCAAGCGGGAAUCGAACCUGGAACCCUCAAGUUGCUGGCACGGCCGCUCUGCCAACCGAGCCACGCCGUAUAUUUGAAUUUUAUCAAUACAAGUUUGACCUACUGUAGAGGGGAGCUUCAAGCAACAUCAUUUUCUAACCUGGUGGAUAUCACUUUGCAAGGGGAAUUCCUGAAAGUAUCCCGGAGCGGCUGAAGACGCUCGCACUGCCUGCCACAUGGGGUAGCCAGAACCUCCUGGAUAGCGGCUCAGAGAUCCUGGUUUAUGGUUGUAAUUGCAGAAGACGAAGGCCUUUGGACUGUUGCCCCAGUUGACCACUGCGCUGACAGCUGAAACCUGAAAACAUAGGAACAAAGAGCAGCCUCAGGUUAACUUUGAACAAAUCUCGCAAAAUGAAAAAGGAACUUUGUGCUUACCUUGGGGCUCAACUCAUCACUGGCUGUUUUGAUGAGCACUCUAUCACCAAGCUUCUCUCUGAUUACAAUACCAACUCAUUAAUACACCUAUACCACAACUACAUAGCGUUGACUGUGUGCAUACCUUAGUAUGGUUUCCCAAGUCUCUGUGUUAUAGUAAGAGUGAUUCCAGCCCAUUUUCACCGUGCCAACCAAACGGUUCUGACGGAAUACUUCAGAGCCAAAGCGGCGAUACAUGUCAGCGCACUCCUCCAGGGAAAAAUGGGCCAGGCCAAGCAUGAAGGCCAACACAGCACCUAUAGUGUCACAAUGUGACACUGAUGACUUUUGCCUUUUUUAUUGCCACAAGAUCGUACUUUCAGCUCUUAGUUACCUGUGCUGACCCCACAAAUGUAGUCAAACAGCUGAUGGACCUUCUUUCCUGUCUCUGCUUCCAGUAAUUUUAAUACCUGCAGAGGCACCACACCUCUGGACACACACAAUACAACAAAAACAGCUCAACACCCUGUGUACAGGCGUACAUUUUGAGCGCAAACAUAGAGGUUGCCAGAGCGUUAAUUUACAACUACAGUGCUACCUCAACAUAAGACUGUGUCUCGGCUUCGUGUUAUGCUUUAAAGGUGAACUGCACUUUUUUGGGAAUUUUGCCCAUCGUUCACAAUCAUUAUGAGAGACAAGAACACACAUGUCUUUUAUUUUAAAGAUGAUAAAAAACACUUGGAAGAUGUGGCUAACUAUUGUAGCCUUCAAAGCCCUCUAAAACAACUUCAAAACCUUCCAUCAACGUUUUAUAUACACACUGCAAGUAUACAUAUAAUGUAGUAGCAGACACAUAAUAACAGUAUGUCAUAUUUACAAUAUUUACCGUAUUUCAGUCAUUUUAAUCAUUGCCGUAACUCAUUCUUUGGCGCAUUUAUUCCCGUUUCCAUAGCAGCGAACGUUCGACAAUGUUCCUACUUCUGGAUACAAAAGGCUUGUGUGUGUUCUAAUCAGGGCAGACUUACAAAUUUUGUAGUAACAAACAGCGAAGACAUAUUUUCAUGAGUGACAAGCCUGAAUGCCAGACUCUUACCUCUGGAAGACAAACAUUUUUUUAUUCAAUAUACUUAGGUAAUUGUGAAAAAUAUUGACAUUUAAAAAAAGUUGCAAACAGCCUUUUAACUCUUUGCUUGUUGAUCUAUUGGACCCAAACAUAUGUGACAGACAAACUGUCCUACUGUCUUUAGGUCUUUCCCAGAUUGGUUUGUAAAACUAAUUCUGAUUAUGUCAGGUUACUUCAAAUUUAAAUGGCUGCCCAUUUUCUUUGUCCUAUUUUGGCCUUUUGCAGGUGGUAAAUUAAAAAAAUCAAGAUUGUAUAUAAAAUAUGUCUUGUUUGCAUGUUAAAGCUGUCAUUUAUUUAUUUAGGCACACAUCCCGAUAUAAGACAAAUAGCAAAGUGGUACAAAAAGAGUUGAAAAAGCAGAGGAAACUAAUUACGACAGAACUAAAUCAUGUACCAGUAUUUUUGGUACUGGUUUCAAAUUGGUUCGAUCCAGAAAGACCAUUAAAAUUGUGGACUAAUGAUACUGCUGUCGAUAUAUUUUAUAAUCCAGCUGACGUCAUAAUUAUGACACACUGCCACAUUCUCUGUCACAUGAUGAAUAUGAAUAAACACAAAUAAAAAAGCAACAUCACGCAAAAGUUUGUAACACAACAAUAUUUCCUCCUAGUCCCCCAAAUCACGCAUGCUACUAAGAGUUAGAGUUGGUUUUAAGUGAAUCCCACUGAACUCACGACUGCCACUAUGGCACGCUUAAUC